UGGAAUGCUUAAAGAUGGUUUGACUGAUGUUUAUAAGGAUUGUGGUAUGGGAGUUUGUGCAGAAACAUGUGCUUCUAAUCAUAAAAUUACAAGAGAGGAGCAGGAUGAUUAUGCAGUUCAAAGUUUCGAACGUGGAAUUGCUGCUCAGGAAGCAGGUGCUUUCGCAUGGGAGAUUGUACCGGUUGAGGUGCCUGGAGGAAGAGGAAAGCCAUCCAUUAUUGUUGACAAGGAUGACGGUCUAGGAAAGUUUGAUGGUGCAAAAUUGAGAAAACUCCGACCAAGUUUUAAGGAUAAAGAUGGUACUGUUACUGCUG
rnacentral:misc_RNA from 1 species